rnacentral:lncRNA from 1 species
UUUCUGUGCUAGCAACACUUCACAAUUCUCAUUCUUGUGCCUGAAGUGGCCUUAACUUCAGCCCUGUUCCAGGUGUGGAUAUGGAAUUCAGACUGACCAAUCAGAUCACUGCCACACUGUUUGGAUCAAGGAUAAGCACUUGAUCUGCUUCAGGCAGAUCAGGAGACAAGAAGAUUAGAUUCCCAGGUUUUUCAUUGGAAACUUUUGAGGAAGGGGCACUUUUUUUCAGCUGGAAUUGCUCAGCGUGGGCUAUGAGUCUAGAGCUAUCCACAGCCAUCUGCCCACCCUAAGUGGAGAACCUACCAGCAAUAGAAACAACACAAAGGGAAGCAGAGCUGAGAGAUGGAAAGACUCCUAAGAAGGCCCAAAGACAGAAUUUAAACAGCAGAGCCAAUUAGGACCAAACUUUUCAGGUAUGCUUGAUUUGGAUAACCAGCUCAACCUUCGUUCCCUUGGUACAGACCUGGAAAUCUCAUACAAUGCUUUGGUCAUCCUGCCUAUAUGCCCAACUGUGAUGGUUAAUUUUAUACGUCAACUUGACUGGGCCAAGGGGUGCUCAGAUAGUUGGUUAAACAUUGCUGGGUGUGUCUGUGAGGGUGUUUCUGGAAAAGAUUAUCAUUUGAAUUGGUGGACUGAGCAAAGCAGAUGGCCUUCCCCAGUGAGGAUGGGCAUCAUCCAAUCUGUUAAGGACCUGAAUAGAAGAAAAAGGUGGAGGAAGGUUGAAUUAACCCUGUCUGACUGGUGAGCUGGGACAUAAAUCUUCUCCUGCUCUUGGUGCUCCUGGUCUCAGGACUGUAGACCUGGACUGGAAUGUAUACCAUCGUGUCUCUGGCUUUGAACUAUACCUCCAGCUUUCCUGGGUCUCCAGCUUGCAGACAGCAGAUUUUGGGACUUUUCAGCUUCAUCAUCAGCCCUGCAACUUUCCCCCUGCUUCCUGCCUCUGUGUGCUGGCUCAAGCUGUGAGGUGAUUUCAUGGAUCUGGGCAGAACCUGAGACUUAGAGGAUAAGUCCCUGAACAGAACUCAUCUGAAUACUGAAAAGGCCGUGUUUCUAAAGCUAUAGCAGGCUGGCAGGAGCUGCUCCAUUCAGAUGAGCUCUCUGAUGUAC